rnacentral:rRNA from 1 species
UACGUAGGGCGCAAGCGUUGUCCGGAAUUAUUGGGCGUAAAGAGCUCGUAGGCGGCCUGUCGCGUCUGCUGUGAAAUCCCGGGGCUCAACCCCGGGCCUGCAGUGGAUACGGGCAGGCUGGAGGCAGGCAGGGGAGAACGGAAUUCCCGGUGUAGCGGUGAAAUGCGCAGAUAUCGGGAGGAACACCGGUGGCGAAGGCGGUUCUCUGGGCCUGUACUGACGCUGAGGAGCGAAAGCGUGGGGAGCGAACAGG